GUUCUGAGGCUGAUAAAACGCCCGACUUAACAGGAGCAAUGGCAGCGGGGACGGACCGUAGGCGACCGGCGUGAGCUUCAGGACGGUGUGCAGAGGACACUUCAGAGCAACAAGUCCCGCCUACUUGAGAGUGUGUCGACCAUUUUCCAGAAGAGGUUUGGAUUCAAGACGUUGGAAUGACAGAACGUUUUAUGAGCCGAUGCUGAAGUAGGCCAGCAGGCAUCUCAUAACUGCCUGGUGACAGAUGACCAGGACGUUCUCCUGCCUCUCCAGCUCCAUGAUGACGGGCUCCAGACGCUGGACCAGGUCCUCGUACGACUGGAGGGCAAAGGUCAAACAGUCACCUGAUCCAGCGUCGAUCUCGUUGAGGGCCUUCCACUGCUCGUACUGGACCCGCAGCGCCUCGGCGGUCUGGAUGGUUCUCUUCAUGUGGC